GCGCUACCUGGUAGUCGCUUUAAAAUUGAAACUACGUUAAGCAAUAUUUGCUUGUCUAAGAAGAGAGUCCUUUGUGGUUCGGUGAGUCCAUCAGAGUCUGCCAAGCGCAGAGCAACCUUAUGUUGGAACAAGAUAUUCAGGCUUUAAUUUUUAACAUUAAAUCCCUUAUCCUUGUAGAUAACUUAAAUAAAUAAGCCAGAUGGAAUUAAAACAAAGCGGGUGAAAUUAGAAUUAUUAUACUAGAAAUUUACUUGGCCUGCGGUGUUUCAACAAAGUUUUUUGUCACAUCUAAUAUACGGACAGUGACAUAUUUUUAUCCUGCAUAUUCCUAGCCAAACUUUCUAUAAGCCUUUCCGCAUGUGUAAUGGAAAUUCGUUUAUUUCCGGUGAAAACUUUUCUAGGCUGUCAGUUGGCCCAAAACCAGUGCCAAUAAUAUAGCCAUUGCAGUUACAGCUAAUUCGCUUAAUUUCGCUCUCGAAAGUGGCCAGAGAAAAUAAAACAGCUUAACAGCGCUUUUUCUUGGUUUAUUUGUACUUUUCUGCCUUGUUUAUAGCCAACUGGCAACGAGUCGUGCAGUUCAGGGCCUGGGCCAUCGAAUGGGCUUUUAAUUGACAGGCCUGGGAGCGUGGGAGGGCUCCUCCGAGAAGGGAUCCAAUGAUAAAAAACAACUUGAGUGGCGGAAAAAAGGUCAUGCCAGGUAGGCUAACUGAAAAGCCAAAGCCAUAGGACAGCUGCGUUGCAUCGGCUUUUUGGGGCCGUUACUGGAGCUGCGAUUUAAAACUGGCCUGGGGAUUGGGAUGUGGAUGGGGAUGGAAAUGGUGAUGGGGACGGGGAUGGGGAUGGGGAGUGGAAAGUGUACUGGGUCUGGGACUCGGCCGACGGCAGCUGGGAAUUCACUCAGUCAUGGGGAGCUCGACUUGAUUAAAGAUUUCACACUUGAUUAAGCACCGGGGCCAGCAGAUCCAAUUGCCAGUUUCAAGAUCGCCGGGGCCAUUGUAGGUGCUUUCCUUACUGUUUGUUCAUCUCUUCCAGCUGUGUGAGCCGAAUUUUGUUUAUUUUUGGAUGUUAAGCACACAACUGCAAUUGUUAAACCUAAAGUGGCGGAACCAAAUGGCCAGAACAACGGCAGCUUAAUUUUUUAAACCAAAACCUUAAAUUGGAACCCAGCACUUGUACUAUCCACUAGGCCUUUUUGAUGAAUUGUUUAAGCACCCUUUAUGAAAUUCAGCAGUUCAGUUGAUGGAGUUUAUUUUAUUAAUUAAAAUAUUUAUGCACACUAACACAUAAAAUUCACCGCAAGCUUGAUGAAAAAUCAUUUAUUUCCAUCACUGGUUUUAAGUUAAGUUGGCCAUUAAGUUAUUUAAAGAGUAAAAAACAACAAAAUAAUAUUUGCUAUGCCAAUCUUAUUUUCCCGUACAAUCAUCCUUAAAGCAGAUGAAUAAUACAAAUAUUUUUUUAUAGA